rnacentral:rRNA from 1 species
UGGGGAAUUUUGGACAAUGGGCGAAAGCCUGAUCCAGCAAUGCCGCGUGAGUGAAGAAGGCCUUCGGGUUGUAAAGCUCUUUUGUCAGGGAAGAAACGGCCUAAGCUAAUAUCUUGGGCUAAUGACGGUACCUGAAGAAUAAGCACCGGCUAACUACGUGCCAGCAGCCGCGGUAAUACGUAGGGUGCAAGCGUUAAUCGGAAUUACUGGGCGUAAAGCGUGCGCAGGCGGUUCUGUAAGUCUGUCGUGAAAUCCCCGGGCUUAACCUGGGAAUUGCGAUGGAGACUGCAAGGCUAGAAUCUGGCAGAGGGGGGUAGAAUUCCACGUGUAGCAGUGAAAUGCGUAGAGAUGUGGAGGAACACCGAUGGCGAAGGCAGCCCCCUGGGUCAAGAUGACGCUCAUGCACGAAAAGCGUGGGGAGCAAACA